CGGGUUAGAGCCGGGUUGGUGAGGCGUCUUAUUUGGGCCAAGAAAGUUUUAAGUUCGAAUCUUAAUAACCCGA
rnacentral:tRNA from 1 species